CGGGAGGCAGCAGUAGGGAAUCUUCCGCAAUGGACGAAAGUCUGACGGAGCAACGCCGCGUGAGUGAUGAAGGUUUUCGGAUCGUAAAGCUCUGUUGUUAGGGAAGAACAAGUACCGUUCGAAUAGGGCGGUACCUUGACGGUACCUAACCAGAAAGCCACGGCUAACUACGUGCCAGCAGCCGCGGUAAUACGUAGGUGGCAAGCGUUGUCCGGAAUUAUUGGGCGUAAAGGGCUCGCAGGCGGUUUCUUAAGUCUGAUGUGAAAGCCCCCGGCUCAACCGGGGAGGGUCAUUGGAAACUGGGGAACUUGAGUGCAGAAGAGGAGAGUGGAAUUCCACGUGUAGCGGUGAAAUGCGUAGAGAUGUGGAGGAACACCAGUGGCGAAGGCGACUCUCUGGUCUGUAACUGACGCUGAGGAGCGAAAGCGUGGGGAGCGAACAGGAUUAGAUACCCUGGUAGUCCACGCCGUAAACGAUGAGUGCUAAGUGUUAGGGGGUUUCCGCCCCUUAGUGCUGCAGCUAACGCAUUAAGCACUCCGCCUGGGGAG
rnacentral:rRNA from 1 species